rnacentral:rRNA from 1 species
UGUUUGCCUCGCACAGGGGAAGCCCGCCGAAGGCGGAUUAAUACCCCAUGGUCCCGCAAGGGUAAAGGGGGCUUCGGCUCUCGCUGCGAGAUUGGCUCGCGUCCUAUCAGCUAGUUGGUGAGGUAACGGCUUACCAAGGCGACGACGGGUAGCUGGUCUGAGAGGAUGAUCAGUCACACUGGAACUGAGACACGGUCCAGACACCUACGGGUGGCAGCAGUCGAGAAUAAUUCACAAUGGACGAAAGUCUGAUGGUGCAACGCCGCGUGGAGGAUGAAGGUCCUCGGAUUGUAAACUCCUGUCAUCGGGGAGUAAGACCUGGCGGUAAAUAGCCGACAGGGUUGAUAGUACCCGAAGAGGAAGGGACGGCUAACUUCGUGCCAGCAGCCGCGGUAAUACGAAGGUCCCGAGCGUUGUUCGGAAUCACUGGGCGUAAAGGGAGCGUAGGCGGUUAGGUAAGUCAGAUGUGAAAUCCCGGGGCUCAACCUCGGAACUGCAUUUGAUACUGCCUGACUUGAGUAGUGGAGGGGUAGAUGGAAUUCUCGGUGUAGCAGUGAAAUGCGUAGAUAUCGAGAGGAACACUCGUGGCGAAGGCGAUCUACUGCACACUUACUGACGCUGAGGCUCGAAGGCCAGGGUAGCGAAUGGGAUUAGAUACCCUGGAAGUCAG